rnacentral:rRNA from 1 species
UGGGGAAUCUUCCGCAAUGGGCGCAAGCCUGACGGAGCAACGCCGCGUGAGUGAAGAAGGUCUUCGGAUCGUAAAGCUCUGUUGACGGGGACGAACGUGCGGAGUGCGAAUAGCGCUUUGUAAUGACGGUACCUGUCGAGGAAGCCACGGCUAACUACGUGCCAGCAGCCGCGGUAAUACGUAGGUGGCGAGCGUUGUCCGGAAUCAUUGGGCGUAAAGGGAGCGCAGGCGGGCCGGUAAGUCUUACUUAAAAGUGCGGGGCUCAACCCCGUGAUGGGAGAGAAACUAUCGGUCUUGAGUACAGGAGAGGAAAGCGGAAUUCCCAGUGUAGCGGUGAAAUGCGUAGAUAUUGGGAAGAACACCAGUGGCGAAGGCGGCUUUCUGGACUGCAACUGACGCUGAGGCUCGAAAGCCAGGGGAGCGAACGGG